CAAGGAAUCUUCCGCAAUGGGCGCAGAGCCUGACGGAGCAACGCCGCGUGGGGGAUGAGGCCCUUCGGGGUGUAAACCCCUUUUCUGUGGGAAGAAGCACUGACGGUACCGCAGGAAGAAGGACCGGCUAACUACGUGCCAGCAGCCGCGGUAAUACGUAGGGUCCGAGCGUUGUCCGGAGUUACUGGGCGUAAAGCGCGCGCAGGCGGCGGUGUUGGCCCGGCGUGAAAGCCCCCGGCUCAACCGGGGAGAGUCGUCGGGGACCGCACCGCUUGAGGGCGGUAGGGGCUGGUGGAAUGCCUGGUGUAGUGGUGAAAUGCGUAGAGAUCAGGCAGAACACCUGGGGCGAAGGCGGCCAGCUGGGCCGUCCCUGACGCUGAGGCGCGAAGGCGUGGGGAGCGAAC
rnacentral:rRNA from 1 species